rnacentral:rRNA from 1 species
UACGUAGGUGGCAAGCGUUACUCGGAAUCACUAGGCGUAAAGCGCAGGUAGGCGGUUUGAUAAGUCUGUUGUGAAAGCUCCCGGCUUAACUGGGAGAGGUCAACGGAAACUGUCAAGCUAGAGUGUGGUAGAGGUAGCUGGAAUUCCCGGUGUAGCGGUGAAAUGCGUAGAUAUCAAGAGGAACACCUGCGGCGAAGGCGGGUUGCUGGGCCGACACUGACGCUGAGGCGCGAAAGCCAGGGGAGCGAACGGG